UUCUAUUAGAUAUAAUUAAUAGUAAAAUCUGCUCAAUGAAAUUUUAAAUAGCCGCUUUUGUGCUAAGGUAGCAUAAUAAUUUGUCUUUUAAUUAAAGACUAGAACAAAAGAUUUAACAUCUUAAUUUAUUUCUUAAAUUUAUUUGUUUAAAUUAUCUUAAAUGUAAAAAGACAUUUAUUUAAUAGAAAGACGAUAAGACCCUAUCAAACUUAACUUUAGUUAAACUGGGGCAGUUAAUUAAUUAUAAUUUUAAUUAUUAAUAAACUACAAUUUAGACCUAAUACAAUUAACUAUUAAAUCAAGUUACUGUAGGGAUAACAGCGUAAUAAAAUUUUAAAGAUCUUAUUAAAAAUAAAGAUUGCGACCUCGAUGUUGAUUAAUAUCCUAAUUAACGCAAUAGAAAAUUAAGGAAGUCUGUUCGACUUUUAAAUAAUUACA
rnacentral:rRNA from 1 species